rnacentral:rRNA from 1 species
AGACCCGAAACCCGGUGAUCUAGCCAUGGGCAGGUUGAAGGUUGGGUAACACUAACUGGAGGACCGAACCGACUAAUGUUGAAAAAUUAGCGGAUGACCUGUGGCUGGGGGUGAAAGGCCAAUCAAACCGGGAGAUAGCUGGUUCUCCCCGAAAGCUAUUUAGGUAGCGCCUCGUGAAUUCAUCUCCGGGGGUAGAGCACUGUUUCGGCUAGGGGGCCAUCCCGGCUUACCAACCCGAUGCAAACUGCGAAUACCGGAGAAUGUUAUCACGGGAGACACACGGCGGGUGCUAACGUCCGUCGUGAAGAGGGAAACAACCCAGACCGCCAGCUAAGGUCCCAAAGUCAUGGUUAAGUGGGAAACGAUGUGGGAAGGCCCAGACAGCCAGGAUGUUGGCUUAGAAGCAGCCAUCAUUUAAAGAAAGCGUAAUAGCUCACUGGUCGAGUCGGCCUGCGCGGAAGAUGUAACGGGGCUAAACCAUGCACCGAAGCUGCGGCAGCGAACGUAUCACCCAAGACAACUUUGCGGAGUUGACGAUUGACGGAGCGAAGCGACGUCAAAGCGUUCAUUAAAGUCGAGUUGGCUUAGGGAUACGUUCGUUGGGUAGGGGAGCGUUCUGUAAGCCUGUGAAGGUGUGCUGUGAGGCAUGCUGGAGGUAUCAGAAGUGCGAAUGCUGACAUAAGUAACGAUAAAGCGGGUGAAAAGCCCGCUCGCCGGAAGACCAAGGGUUCCUGUCCAACGUUAAUCGGGGCAGGGUGAGUCGACCCCUAAGGCGAGGCCGAAAGGCGUAGUCGAUGGGAAACGGGUUAAUAUUCCCGUACUUGGUGUUACUGCGAAGGGGGGACGGAGAAGGCUAUGUUGGCCGGGCGACGGUUGUCCCGGUUUAAGCGUGUAGGUGUGUGUUCCAGGUAAAUCCGGUUCACUUUAACACUGAGGCGUGACGACGAGGCACUACGGUGCUGAAGCAACAAAUGCCCUGCUUCCAGGAAAAGCCUCUAAGCAUCAGGUAACAUCAAAUCGUACCCCAAACCGACACAGGUGGUCAGGUAGAGAAUACCAAGGCGCUUGAGAGAACUCGGGUGAAGGAACUAGGCAAAAUGGUGCCGUAACUUCGGGAGAAGGCACGCUGACAUGUAGGUGAAGUGAUUUACUCAUGGAGCUGAAGUCAGUCGAAGAUACCAGCUGGCUGCAACUGUUUAUUAAAAACACAGCACUGUGCAAACACGAAAGUGGACGUAUACGGUGUGACGCCUGCCCGGUGCCGGAAGGUUAAUUGAUGGGGUCAGCGCAAGCGAAGCUCCUGAUCGAAGCCCCGGUAAACGGCGGCCGUAACUAUAACGGUCCUAAGGUAGCGAAAUUCCUUGUCGGGUAAGUUCCGACCUGCACGAAUGGCGUAAUGAUGGCCAGGCUGUCUCCACCCGAGACUCAGUGAAAUUGAACUCGCUGUGAAGAUGCAGUGUACCCGCGGCAAGACGGAAAGACCCCGUGAACCUUUACUAUAGCUUGACACUGAACAUUGAGCCUUGAUGUGUAG